rnacentral:rRNA from 1 species
CAGUAGCCGCGGUAAUACGAAGGGUGCAAGCGUUAAUCGGAAUUACUGGGCGUAAAGCGUGCGUAGGCGGUGAGUUAAGUCUGCUGUGAAAUCCCCGGGCUCAACCUGGGAAUGGCAGUGGAUACUGGCUCGCUAGAGUGUGUCAGAGGAUGGUGGAAUUCCCGGUGUAGCGGUGAAAUGCGUAGAGAUCGGGAGGAACAUCAGUGGCGAAGGCGGCCAUCUGGGACAACACUGACGCUGAGGCACGAGAGCGUGGGGAGCAAACAGGAUUAGAUACCCCAGUAGUCCCUGUCUCUUAUAA